AACGCGAAGAACCUUACCCUUCUUCAAAUCCGCUUGGUCGCCAGAGAAGCAUUCUUUCACCUAGGGGGGCUCGAACACAGGUGCUGCAUGGCUGUCGUCAGCUCGUGUCGUGAGAUGUUGGGUUAAGUCCCGCAACGAGCGCAACCCUCCCUUUAGUUGCCAUCAUUCAGUUCGGCACUCUAGUAGACUGCCGGUGAUAAGCGGGGAAAGGGUGGGAUGAGUCAAAGUCUCAUGGCCCUUAUGUCAAGGGCUACCCACGUUGUACAAUGGCCGGUGCCAGGGGGAGGCAAAUGGGGGAGGGGAGGCAAAUCCCAAAAACCGGUCUCAGUUCGGAUUGCAGUCUGCAACUCGAGUCCAUGAAGUCGGAAUCGCUAGUAAUCGCGAUCAGCAUGCG
rnacentral:rRNA from 1 species